rnacentral:rRNA from 1 species
AUUGAACGCUGGCGGCAGGCCUAACACAUGCAAGUCGAACGAGUGGCGGACGGGUGAGUAAUGUCUGGGAAACUGCCUGAUGGAGGGGGAUAACUACUGGAAACGGUAGCUAAUACCGCAUACCAUCAGAUGUGCCCAGAUGGGAUUAGCUAGUUGGUGGGGUAACGGCUCACCAGGGCGACGAUCCCUAGCUGGUCUGAGAGGCUGACAAGCCACACGGGAACGGAGACACGGUCCAGACUCCUAGGGGAGGCAGCAGUGGGGAAGAUUGCACAAGGGGCGAAAGCCUGAUGCAGCCAUGCCGCGGGUAUGAAGAAGGCCUUCGGGUUGUAAAGUACUUUCAGCGGUGAGGCGUUACCCGCAGAAGAAGCACCGGCUAACUCCGUGCCAGCCGCCGCGGUAAUAC